UACAGAGGGUGCGAGCGUUAAUCGGAAUUACUGGGCGUAAAGCGUGCGUAGCCGGUUAUGUAAGUCAGGUGUGAAAGCCCCGGGCUCAACCUGGGAAUUGCAUUUGAGACUGCAUAGCUAGGGUGCGGAAGAGGGAAGCGGAAUUUCCGGUGUAGCGGUGAAAUGCGUAGAUAUCGUCUGGAACGCCGAAGGUGAAAACAGCUCGCUGGGGCCGCGCUGACGCUGAGACACGAAAGCCAGGGGAGCGAACGGG
rnacentral:rRNA from 1 species